UACGUAGGUGGCGAGCGUUGUCCGGAAUUACUGGGUGUAAAGCGCGUGUAGGCGGCAGGCCAAGUCGGUGGUGAAAGUGCCCGGCUCAACUGGGCGAGGUCCAUGGAAACUGGUCAGCUGGAGGACGGUAGAGGCGAGUGGAAUUCCCGGUGUAGUGGUGGAAUGCGCAGAUAUCAGGAGGAACACCGGUGGCGAAGGCGGAUCUCUGGGCCAUAACUGACGCUGAGGAGCGAAAGCGUGGGGAGCGAGCAGG
rnacentral:rRNA from 1 species